rnacentral:lncRNA from 1 species
AGCUCAGGCACCACUCAAGGAAGCACAUUUGUUCAAGGGAUUAGCAUUUCUGGAUGUCAGUUCAGCGAAGGGUUGGAGGAGGUGGCGAUUGAGGCAGACCUCAGAGGAUGGGCAGGAAGGGAGCCCUGGGUUGCAAAGGGGAUGGGUGUCCCAGAGAGUGAGAGGAGGAAGGAAUAUGCAGGCAGAUGGAAGAGGGUGUGCGGUCAAGGUACUAACAACUGCUUUUGUGUGUGAGUGUGAAUGUGUGUAUAUGUGUGUGUAAGACAGAGUCUCACUCUGUUGCCCAGGCUGGA